rnacentral:lncRNA from 1 species
AUGUUUACUACAAUAUGAGCACAUUUCCCAACAUAAACCACCAGUAUUUUAAGAUAAAUUACAAUUUGGUUCGUGAACGAACCACAUAUUUGCAAAUAAACUGCCACUAGGUUGUGGAUGCACAACAUAUUUGUAGAUAAAAGCUGCCACUGGGUUAUGGACAAGCCACCACUGUUUGCAAAUUAUUAAGCUGCCACUCUUCUUGCAUACAUAUCAUCCCACCCCAUGUAAUGCAAUAUGACAUGUUUUUGUAAUAGAAAAAUUCAACACUACCAGUAAACAUGCUUAACAUGUAUUCAAUUCAACAUUGGCAAUCAACAUGCUUAACAUGUAUUCACUUUAACAUUAGUAAUAGAUAUGCUUAACGUGUACUUCGAAAGGUGGUGACAAUAUUAACACUAACAACAUGUUUGGUUGGUUGUAAUAGCCAACCGAAUCACACAUGAGUCCAUUUAGUCUUGUUAUUCAAGAAUUUGGUUCAUUGUAUUGGUAUUCCAUGGAAUCCCUCAUUGGGUGCCAUUCGACAAAACCACAGAAUGACUAUUCUAAUCUUUCCUCUCAGAAUAGCCAUUCGACACUUCAAUGAAUAUGAAAAUAUUUUCUUAUUCCAAAAAAGUCCAUCACUAUUUCAUUAAUUUUUAACCUACAUUUCACCAUUAUUCAACAUACUAUCCACAUAACAAAUAAAUCUGAAACAGAAAGCAAAAUAUGAGAGAUUUUUGGUUCUCUUAAUCUAAAACAGAAUAAUAAAAAGAGCAAUUCAACAUGGUGCACAAAAAUAAAUAAAAAAAGAAAAAAAAUAAAAAAAAAGAGAAAGAAGAGAGACUUUUGGUUCCAUGGUACCCAACACCAAAUAAGAAAUAAAUCUGAAACAAAGAGAGAGGGGCUUGAAGCUUAUUUGUUUUUUCAUCAAUGAUUUUGUGGGUUUGCUUUUAGUUACUUGUUUUGGGGCUUCUAGUUUAGGGAAGGAGGUAAAAUGCGUAUUAGGAGUCGAUUUAGAGAAAACUAAUAAAAAAAUCGAAAAAAGGAUGCUAGAAUCAUCCAAAGUUGAAAAUUUGAGAAAGAAAAGUCACCAGAUGAUGGCAACACAUGGUGGUUGGUGUGGCGAUGCAUGGGGGUGAAGGUGGUUUUCUGGAAAAAAAAGAAGAUGAACGUUCAUCUUUUUCAAAAUAAGAGGGAAAGAGCAUUUG